rnacentral:rRNA from 1 species
AUUGAACGCUGGCGGCAGGCUUAACACAUGCAAGUCGAACGAUGACUCUCUAGCUUGCUAGAGAUGAUUAGUGGCGGACGGGUGAGUAACAUUUAGGAAUCUACCUAGUAGUGGGGGAUAGCUCGGGGAAACUCGAAUUAAUACCGCAUACGACCUACGGGUGAAAGGGGGCGCAAGCUCUUGCUAUUAGAUGAGCCUAAAUCAGAUUAGCUAGUUGGUGGGGUAAAGGCCCACCAAGGCGACGAUCUGUAACUGGUCUGAGAGGAUGAUCAGUCACACCGGAACUGAGACACGGUCCGGACUCCUACGGGAGGCAGCAGUGGGGAAUAUUGGACAAUGGGGGCAACCCUGAUCCAGCCAUGCCGCGUGUGUGAAGAAGGCCUUUUGGUUGUAAAGCACUUUAAGCAGGGAGGAGAGGCUAAUGGUUAAUACCCAUUAGAUUAGACGUUACCCGCAGAAUAAGCACCGGCUAACUCUGUGCCAGCAGCCGCGGUAAUACAGAGGGUGCGAGCGUUAAUCGGAUUUACUGGGCGUAAAGCGUGCGUAGGCGGCUUUUUAAGUCGGAUGUGAAAUCCCUGAGCUUAACUUAGGAAUUGCAUUCGAUACUGGGAAGCUAGAGUAUGGGAGAGGAUGGUAGAAUUCCAGGUGUAGCGGUGAAAUGCGUAGAGAUCUGGAGGAAUACCGAUGGCGAAGGCAGCCAUCUGGCCUAAUACUGACGCUGAGGUACGAAAGCAUGGGGAGCAAACAGG